CAGCCCUAAUAUGAUGUUAUAAUUUCUCAAGGGGUUGACCUACAAUCUUUGAGCAGAUUUUCAUUUGUUGGAGCAGUUUGGACUUUAAAGUAGUUGACAAAUUCUUGUACCAUAUAGUAUAACAAUACUGCAGAACACUCAUAAUCACAGAAGUAAAAAACAAUAGAAGAAUUUGUUUACUCGCCCCAAAAGACCUGAGGCGGCGGAGAAAGUAAAUUCUUUGUUUUGUCUUUUUACAGACAAAUU